CGGCAACGGAUAUCUCGGCUCUCGCAUCGAUGAAGAACGUAGCGAAAUGCGAUACUUGGUGUGAAUUGCAGAAUCCCGUGAACCAUCGAGUCUUUGAACGCAAGUUGCGCCCGAAGCCAUCAGGCCGAGGGCACGCCCGCCUGGGCGUCACACGCCGUUGCCCCC
rnacentral:rRNA from 1 species